GACGAACGCUGGCGGCGUGCUUAACACAUGCAAGUCGAACGGAAAGGCCCUGCUUUUGUUGGGUGCUCGAGUGGCGAACGGGUGAGUAACACGUGAGUAACCUGCCCUUGACUUUGGGAUAACUUCAGGAAACUGGGGCUAAUACCGGAUAUGAGCUCCUGCUGCAUGGUGGGGGUUGGAAAGUUUCGGCGGUUGGGGAUGGACUCGCGGCUUAUCAGCUUGUUGGUGGGGUAGUGGCUUACCAAGGCUUUGACGGGUAGCCGGCCUGAGAGGGUGACCGGCGACAUUGGGACUGAGAGACGGCCCAGACUCCUACGGGAGGCAGCAGUGGGGAAUAUUGCACAAUGGGCGGAAGCCUGAUGCAGCAACGCCGCGUGCGGGAUGACGGGCUUCGGGUUGUAAACAGCUUUCGCCGGUGACGAAGCGGGAGUGACGGUAAUGGGUAAAGAAGCACCGGCUAACUACGUG
rnacentral:rRNA from 1 species